rnacentral:rRNA from 1 species
ACGCUCGACACCUACGGGAGGCAGCAGUAGGGAAUCUUCCACAAUGGACGCAAGUCUGAUGGAGCAACGCCGCGUGAGUGAAGAAGGUCUUCGGAUCGUAAAACUCUGUUGUUAGAGAAGAACACGAGUGAGAGUAACUGUUCAUUCGAUGACGGUAUCUAACCAGCAAGUCACGGCUAACUACGCGCCAGCAGCCGUGGUAAUCUGAGCGGGCUGGCAAGGC